rnacentral:tRNA from 1 species
GGAGAGGUGUCCGAGUUGGCCGAAGGAGCACGCCUGGAAAGUGUGUAAGCGACAAAAUCGCUUCCAGGGUUCGAAUCCCUGUCUCUCCG